rnacentral:rRNA from 1 species
GUCGAGAAUCUUUCACAAUGGGGGCAACCCUGAUGGAGCGACGCCGCGUGGAGGAUAAGGUCUUCGGAUUGUAAACUCCUGUCAUGCGUGAACAAGGUUGCUUGGUUAAUACCUGGGCAAAUUGAUGGUAACGCAAGAGGAAGAGACGGCUAACUCUGUGCCAGCAGCCGCGGUAAUACAGAGGUCUCAAGCGUUGUUCGGAAUCACUGGGCGUAAAGGGUGCGUAGGUGGCGUGGUAAGUCAGAUGUGAAAGCCCGGGGCUCAAACUCGUAACUGCAUCCGAUACUGCCAUGCUAGAGUACUGGAGAGGUGACUAGAAUUCUCGGUGUAGCAGUGAAAUGCGUAGAUAUCGAGAGGAAUACCAAAGGCGUAGGCAGGUCACUGGACAGUUACUGACACUGAGGCACGAAGGCCAGGGGAGCGAACGGGAUUAGAUACCCGGGUAGUCC